GAUGAACGCUGGCGGCGUGCCUAAUACAUGCAAGUCGAGCGAACGGACGAGAAGCUUGCUUCUCUGAUGUUAGCGGCGGACGGGUGAGUAACACGUGGAUAACCUACCUAUAAGACUGGGAUAACUUCGGGAAACCGGAGCUAAUACCGGAUAAUAUUUUGAACCGCAUGGUUCAAAAGUGAAAGACGGUCUUGCUGUCACUUAUAGAUGGAUCCGCGCUGCAUUAGCUAGUUGGUAAGGUAACGGCUUACCAAGGCAACUAUGCAUAGCCGACCUGAGAGGGUGAUCGGCCACACUGGAACGGAGACACGGUCCAGACUCCUACGGGAGGCAGCAGUAGGGAAUCUUCCGCAAUGGGCGAAAGCCUGACGGAGCAACGCCGCGUGAGUGAUGAAGGUCUUCGGAUCGUAAAACUCUGUUAUUAGGGAAGAACAUAUGUGUAAGUAACUGUGCACAUCUUGACGGUACCUAAUCAGAAAGCCACGGCUAACUACGUG
rnacentral:rRNA from 1 species